GCAUGGGACCUGAUCUGGUAGUAGCCAAGCGAUGGGGUGACGCAGGAAGGUAGCUGAGCCAGUCAGUGGUAAUACUGGUGUAAGCCUGUAGGGCGAAUGGUAGGCAAAUCCGCCAUUCAUCAAGCCUGAGAGGUGACGCAUAGCCGAAUGAGGCGAAUUCAGUGAUCCUAUGCUGCCGAGAAAAGCCUCUAGCGAGCUUUCACACGGCCCGUACCCCAAACCGACACAGGUGGUCAGGUAGAGAAUACUAAGGCGAUCGAGAUAACUAUGGUUAAGGAACUCGGCAAAAUGCCCCCGUAACUUCGGGAGAAGGGGGGCCUCGUCCGGUGAUCACUCUUGCAGUGUGAGCUGGGUGGGGCCGCAGAGACCAGUGAGAAGCGACUGUUUACUAAAAACACAGGUCCGUGCGAAGUCGUAAGACGAUGUAUACGGACUGACGCCUGCCCGGUGCUGGAAGGUUAAGAGGACCGGUUAGCCACUUCGGUGGCGAAGCUGAGAAUUUAAGCCCCAGUAAACGGCGGUGGUAACUAUAACCAUCCUAAGGUAGCGAAAUUCCUUGUCGGGUAAGUUCCGACCUGCACGAAUGGCGUAACGACUUCUCAGCUGUCUCAACCAUAGACUCGGCGAAAUUGCAUUACGAGUAAAGAUGCUCGUUACGCGCGGCAGGACGAAAAGACCCCGGGACCUUCACUACAGCUUGGUAUUGGUGUUCGGUUCGGUUUGUGUAGGAUAGGUGGGAGA
rnacentral:rRNA from 1 species